GUUUACAUUUCAGAGAGCAGUACCAUGGAGUCAGUAUUGUAGCUAAAGUAGAAUGAAGAAAUUUUAAUAAGUUAAUUUUCAUUUUUCCUUCAAUAUCUUUUUGGAAACACUUUAAUGACUAUUGUGCAAAUAUUUUGAAGAAUAUAAAAAAUAAUCUGAAAACAUCACAAAUUUACCUAAAUGCUAUUUAUGUUAUCAGUUCUCAUUGCAUGAUAUGGUUCAAGAGUUAUUAGUAAUAGGUGUGGCAAUAUGAUUUGUACAUUUGAUUCUAAUACAUGAAAUUUCUACCAGCCCAGAUGGAAAUUUUCUUGUAUUUUUAUCAGCAAGAAGCUCAGUUGAUACUGGAGCCCAUUCUGCUACAAAUUCACUUCAUAGAAUUGAUUGGCCGAAGGAUGUGAAACUCUAUCAAUCUGCAAAAGUUCAUGAUGUGGUAAGCUUUUUUUACAACCAGUUUAACUUUAAUCCAAACAAUUGCCAUGGAGCUUUGUUAUCUAUUGUUACUCUUGCGUAUUUUUAUAUGCUCAUAUUAAUUAAGGCUUAAGAGAAUGAAUUUCUACUUUAUCAUAUGCUUAAGAACAUGAUCUAUAGUUUUUUUUACGGCAAUUGAAACACCCCUACUAGACAUUACCUAGGAUAUCUAGCAUGUGUGUUAAACUUGGCAUUGGAUACAUUAAAAUUUCAAUAAUAAAAAUUUCCUCUUAAUGAAAUAUGGAAAUGCUCGUCUUAUACCUCUGAAAUAAUACCACUUACGUGAACUUCCUAUGAUCCGACAACUUCUGCCUCUUCACCACGAACUAUUCUGUCAUCUAGCAACCUGAAUAUCUGAAAUAAAUAAAAGGGAUUGGGGUGAGACAGGAUGUCUCAGUGAGUUCCACCUAUCCUAGGUUGUAGGCAAUCGCAGGGAACCUAGGAUCGCCAUCUGUUCUAAACUUAACCCAUUUCGGGUUUAUACAGUCUUUAUCAUACAUAACUGAGCGAUCGGGGAUAACUAGGAUCACUACCUAAUACUAUCAUGAUUCUAUCAUAAUGUCAUAUUCUUAUUUUUACACAUAAUCAUAAUCAUAAUCUUAACUCUUACUUAAAGUUCAUGUCAUUAUUUUUUUUUUAUACAUUUCAAUGUGUGCAUAUAUACCACAUUAAUUACUAUGAGCCGUACCUCAUAUGCUACAUUAUCUCUUCGUUUUAGCAAACGGAGUUUUUGCAUUUGUUACUAUGAGCCGUACCUCAUAGACUACAUUAUCUCUUCAUUGUAGCAAACGGAUAUUUUCUCAAUUUUUUUUUUCUUUUUCUUUCUUUCUACGAGCAUGUUACUCAUUUCAAUUCUUCUUUCAAAUAAUUUCUAUAAGUAUAUACAUCAAUUGUCUUGCUUAGCAUUUUAUUGUUAGAACCAAUUCAUAUGACUUAGCAUAACAUUGAUAUCAUACAAGAUUUCAUUCACAUUAUCAUGACUUUGCAUAACCAUUAAAAUCUCGUUUGUAUUGAGUAAAAGUAAAUAACACAAUUUUAAUGACAUGAUUCAAACUAUUCAAAGGGAGAGUUAACUAACUAAAGGAACUCACCGUGAAUCAUUCCUGGAGAUUGAAAGCAACUUAUCCACAAUUUGCAGCUUCUUCUAUCUCUAAAACUCCAUAAUCACUUUUCCAAAAUAGCUUAUGCCUUAACUUAUAGGUCUUUCCUUUUCUAAAACAGUCCAACCCACUUGCGGCAUACUCCUACUUUAUCAACCAGCAUACAAAAAUUCUCAUUUCAGUCCCAUAAAUAAUCUCUUUUGGAACUUUAAUCCCUUUUUAUGCUUCAGCUCAUAGCUUCCACUUCUUGGCUGCUCAUGCUUCGUUUCAAGCUUCAGAUCAAAAGCCCAAACCCUAGAUCUUGUGUCUUGCUCCAACAUGCUCAAACUUGCCUCUUAUGUUCAAAUUAUAGCUCCAAACUUCAAUUCUCUUUGCAAUAUCACCAAUUCCAUUCUUAACCUCUUAAAUCCUUGUUAGAGUGCAUAUGAACAACUUCUCACGUGAGAAAAGAUUGAAGGAAUAAACCUUCUAAUAGUUCCCUUUGCUUCUAUGCUCAAGAAAUUAGCAAAACAUGAAGAAUCACUUGAAAGAAUGAAAUUAUUUUGAUGGAUUGGUGAGCAAGAGAGGAGGGGCGAUGGUAUAGAGAGGAAGGGGAAGAUAAUUUCAGAUUUUUUUUUUCAGUAGGAAAGUAGUAGAAACUUGUAGAAAAAUCAUACAAUUUGUCUUAUAUACACCUUUUAUUGUAAAAUGACAAUUUUGCCCUUUUUUUACAUUUUCUUCAAACGAAAAUAUCCGGUAAAGUGCCGUAAAGUUUUAAGCACAAUUUCCUUUUUACCCUUCUCUUAAAAAAAAUUCCAAAGAUAAAAGAACUUAUACUGAAUUUUUUACAUCUGGGGUAUUACAGCAAUGAUUUAGAAAAUUUAAAUGUUGAAUAUGGUUUUGUUAUUUAUGUCUAUGUUUUGUAUAUGAUUUUUUGUUUCUAGAACUUGUCUUUAUUGUGAUUAAAACGGUAAUGCUUUUGCUAUAACAAUUGAAUGAGGGUUUGGUCUGGUUAGGAAACUUCACAAUUUCGUCUUCUUGGGACUGCAUA
rnacentral:lncRNA from 1 species